GGAGGGGUAGCAAAGUGGUCAAAUGCUCCUGACUGUAAAUCAGGCGACUUCGGUCUUCGAAGGUUCAAAUCCUUCCCCCUCCA
rnacentral:tRNA from 1 species